rnacentral:rRNA from 1 species
CCCUUAGAUGUUCUGGGCCGCACGCGCGCUACACUGAUGCAUUCAACGAGUCUAAAACCUGCUCUGAUAGGGGUGGGUAAUCUUUUGAACGUGCAUCGUGAUUGGGAUAGAUGAUUGCAAUUUUUCAUCUUCAACGAGGAAUGCCUAGUAAACGCAAGUCAUCAGCUUGCAUUGAUUACGUCCCUGCCCUUUGUACACACCGCCCGUCGCUCCUACCGAUUGAAUGAUCCGAUGAAUAUCAUGGAUUGAGGAUGCAAGUAGGUUAGCCUAUCUUCAUCUUCGAGAAGUGAAGUAAAUCUUAUCAUUUAGAGGAAGGAGAAGUCGUAACA